rnacentral:snRNA from 1 species
GUGCUCACUGGCAACACAUAUACUAAAAUUGGUAUUAUACAGAGAAGAUUAGUAUGGGCCCUGUUGCAAGGAUGACAUACAAAUUCUUCAAGCAUUCAGUAUUUUU